AAAUCGCGAUUCCCAUUGAGGGGAUUCAAAGAUUUUCCUCAACCCAUCCUGGAGUUCAUGGAGGAGUACUGGUUACACUUGAGGGGGUCCAUCGGGACCAAAAAACACGUGGAAAACCAGAAGUCCAAAUUGGGACGGUAAUGUCCUUCCUUAGAUUUGUGAACAAGGGAAGGACAAUACUCCCCAAUUGGACUUUUCUGCAGGACCUUGAUCGAGUUCAUCAGUGGCCGGCGAAGCUCCUCAGAGAGGGGAAGGCAGAAAACACCACUAGGAAUUACCUCCUGAAUGUGAUGGAGUUCGCGGGCUACUUUCGGACCACGCCACCAAGCACCU